ACGAACGCUGGCGGCGUGCUUCACCCAUGCAAGUCGAACGGAAAGGCCCUGCUUUUGUGGGGUGCUCGGGUGGCGAACGGGUGAGUAACACGUGAGUAACCUGCCCUUGACUUUGGGAUAACUUCAGGAAACUGGGGCUAAUACCGGAUAGGAGCUCCUGCUGCAUGGUGGGGGUUGGAAAGUUUCGGCGGUUGGGGAUGGACUCGCGGCUUAUCAGCUUGUUGGUGGGGUAGUGGCUUACCAAGGCUUUGACGGGUAGCCGGCCUGAGAGGGUGACCGGCCACAUUGGGACUGAGAUACGGCCCAGACUCCUACGGGAGGCAGCAGUGGGGAAUAUUGCACAAUGGGCGGAAGCCUGAUGCAGCAACGCCGCGUGCGGGAUGACGGCCUUCGGGUUGUAAACCGCUUUCGCCUGUGACGAAGCGUGAGUGACGGUAAUGGGUAAAGAAGCACCGGCUAACUACGUG
rnacentral:rRNA from 1 species